rnacentral:rRNA from 1 species
GACAGAGGUCCCGAGCGUUAGGCGGAAUCACUGGGCUUAAAGGGCGCGUAGGCGGGCAAGCAAGUCGAAGGUGAAAUCCCACGGCUCAACCGUGGAAGUGCCCCCGAUACUGCUUGUCUUGAGGGAGAUAGGGGCGUGCGGAACUUCCGGUGGAGCGGUGAAAUGCGUAGAUAUCGGAAGGAACACCGGUGGCGAAAGCGGCGCGCUGGAUCUCUUCUGACGCUGAGGCGCGAAAGCCAGGGGAGCAAACGGG